rnacentral:rRNA from 1 species
CACGGGGGUUGGAGGGCAAGUCUGGUGCCAGCAGCCGCGGUAAUUCCAGCUCCAAUAGCGUAUAUUAAAGUUGUUGCAGUUAAAAAGCUCGUAGUUGAAUUUCGGGAUCAAAUUGUUGGUCGUGCUUCGGCACGCACUGGCAUUAUUGGUUCCUACCUUCUGAAGAACCGCGAUGUCAUUAAUUUGGUGUCGUGGGGAAUCAGGACUGUUACUUUGAAAAAAUUAGAGUGUUUAAAGCAGGCGUACGCUUGAAUACAUUAGCAUGGAAUAAUGAAAUAGGACGUUUGAUUCUAUUUUGUUGGUUUCUAGGAUCGACGUAAUGAUUAAUAGGGAUAGUUGGGGGCAUUAGUAUUCAAUUGUCAGAGGUGAAAUUCUUGGAUUUAUUGAAGACUAACUACUGCGAAAGCAUUUGCCAAGGAUGUUUUCAUUAAUCAAGAACGAAAGUUAGGGGAUCGAAGACGAUCAGAUACCGUCGUAGUCUUAACCAUAAACUAUGCCG